rnacentral:rRNA from 1 species
CUGGUUGAUUCUGCCAGUGGUCAUAUGCUCGUCUCAAAGACUAAGCCAUGCAUGUCCAAGUUCAUAACUAUCAAAGUUGAAACUGCGAAGCGCUCAGUAAAUCAGUUAUAGUCUGUUCGAUCGUUCAAGCCCAUGGAUAACUGUGGCAAAUCUAUAGCUAAUACAUGUAAAAGCCCCCACCAUAGGGCACAUUUAUUGGCUAACCGACACCACCCGCAGCAAUGCGGGUAGCAGGUGAAUCUAGAUAACUGUGCUUACCGCAUAGCCUUGUGCUGGCGGUAGUUCGAUCGAAUUUCUGCCCUAUCAACUAGUUGGUAAGGUAGUGGCUUACCAAGGUAGUAACGGGUAACGGGGAAUCAGGGUUCGAUUCCGGAGAGGGAGCCUGAGAAACGGCUACCACAUCCAAGGAAGGCAGCAGGCGCGCAAAUUACCCAAUCCAGACAUUGGGAGGUAGUGACGAGAAAUACUGGGGGCGCUCCAUGUGAGUGCCAUCCGGAAUGAACGUAACACAAAAAAUUCGAUGAGGAUCUACUGGAGGGCAAGUCUGGUGCCAGCAGCCGCGGUAAUUCCAGCUCCAGUAGUGUAUAUCAACAUUGUUGCGCUUAAAACGCUCGUAGUUGGAUUACAGGGCUUCAAACACGGCCACUAAUUGUGUGGUCGUGGUCGUAGCAAGCUGACAGCYACUGGUUGUCGGUAGCUCGAUGGAGCCCUUUUGUCGCACUGGCCCCGGUUGGCGCCUUUACUGGUGUCGGCCGGUUGCCGGUGGAGUGUGCCUUGAAUAAAGCAUAGUGCUCAAAGCAGGCGUACGCUCGUGUGUAAUAGCAUGGAACGAAUAUAUCUUGACCGCCGCCAUGUUAGCGUCGUGUCACAGCGGCGUUGCAUGGGGGUAGGUUCGAUCAGUGUUGGUUGGAACCACGGUCUCAACGGUUAAAAGGGACACCUGAGGGCACUAGUACUUUGUGGCGAGAGGUGAAAUUCUUAGACCCACAAAAGACUGACUACUGCGAAAGCAUUUGCCAAGAGUGUUUUCAUUAAUCAAGAACGAAGGUCAGAGGAUCGAAGACGAUCAGAUACCGUCCUAGUUUUGACAGCAAACUAUGCCAGCAUAGGGUCGGAGCGGUCGCUCGUUAACAGCGAGUCGGACUACUGCGGGCCUUAAGGGAAACCUAGCUUUCGGGCUGCUGGGAGAAUAUCGCUGCAAGGCUGAAAUUUAAAGAAAUUGACGGAGAGGCACCACCAGGAGUGGAGCCUGCGGCUUAAUUUGACUCAACACGGGGAAACUCACCAGGUCCAGACAUUGGUAGGAUUGACAGACUGGUAGAUCUUUCAUGAUUCAGUGAAUGGUGGUGCAUGGCCGUUCUUAGUUGGUGGAGUGAUCUGUCAGGUCUAUUCCGGUAACGAGCGAGACCACGGCCUCUAGUUAUCAUGUCGUCGAGCCUUGNGCUCGUACUGGCCAACUAGAGGGACUAUUGGGGUUUAACCCAGAGGAAGCGUGGCAAUAACAGGUCUGUGAUGCCCUUCGAUGUCCUGGGCUGCACGCGCGCUACAAUGGCAGCAGUAGAGAGUAUGGCUAGCCAGAGAUGGUUGGUUAAACUGUAAAUCGCUGUCGUGAUAGGGAUUGAGCCUUGUAAUUAUUGCUCAUGAAAGAGGAAUUCCUCGUAAGCACUAGUCAUCAGCUAGUGUUGAAUACGUCUCUGCCUCUUGUACACACCGCCCGUCGCUA